UACGUAGGGACCAAGCGUUGUUCGGAUUUACUGGGCGUAAAGGGCGCGUAGGCGGCAAUUCAAGUCAGUUGUGAAAUCUCCGAGCUUAACUCGGAACGGUCAACUGAUACUGUUUUGCUAGAGUGCAGAAAGGGCAACCGGAAUUCUUGGUGUAGCGGUGAAAUGCGUAGAUAUCAGGAGGAACACCGGUGGCGAAGGCGGGUCUCUGGGCCGAUACUGACGCUGAGGAGCGAAAGCGUGGGGAGCAAACAGG
rnacentral:rRNA from 1 species